ACGGAGGGAGCUAGCGUUGUUCGGAAUUACUGGGCGUAAAGCGCACGUAGGCGGCGAUUCAAGUCAGAGGUGAAAGCCCGGGGCUCAACUCCGGAACUGCCUUUGAAACUAGAUUGCUAGAAUCUUGGAGAGGCGAGUGGAAUUCCGAGUGUAGAGGUGAAAUUCGUAGAUAUCCGGAAGAACACCAGUGGCGAAGGCGACUCGCUGGACAAGUAUUGACGCUGAGGUGCGAAAGCGUGGGGAGCAAACAGGA
rnacentral:rRNA from 1 species